UACGGGGGGAGCAAGCGUUGUUCGGAUUUACUGGGCGUAAAGGGCGCGUAGGCGGCCAGCACAAGUCAGUUGUGAAAUCUCCGAGCUUGACUCGGAAAGGUCAACUGAUACUGUGCGGCUAGAGUGCGGAAGGGGCAACUGGAAUUCUUGGUGUAGCGGUGAAAUGCGUAGAUAUCAAGAGGAACACCUGCGGCGAAGGCGGGUUGCUGGGCCGACACUGACGCUGAUGCGCGAAAGCUAGGGGAGCGAACGGG
rnacentral:rRNA from 1 species